rnacentral:lncRNA from 1 species
UGAACCUCUGAUUAAUCAGCUGAGGCAAGAGUUGGGUCAGCUGUGGGAGCACAGGUGAGAGUAAUUUAGCUGUGCUCCCAGAAGGGGUAGAGCUUGACUCCAUUCCCUCUCAUUUAAGGGCUGACCACCACUAAGGCAGCAUCUCUUGGAGAUUGCUCCUUGGUGGUGAUUACCUCAGCGGUUUCCAGCAGACCGAAGGCUUCCAUACAGGUGAGUUUUUCCUGUAAAUAACCUUUUGGGUAUUUACAACUAUCAUCUUUUCAUUACAUCUUUUUAUUAUUGUCACCAUACACAGGGUAAAAAUUGAGUAGUCCUAUCAAGUGCCCAUUGCACCAAAGUGUGAGUAUUUUAGCCUGAAAAGUGCUAAGCAUAUAUUUGUGUUUUGAUAUUUGCUUUUGAUUGCUUUUACAGGGAAUGUGAAGUACAAUAAAUAAAUGAGGAAAAAACAACCUGUGGCACAAGCCAGACAAUACAACAUAUCUUGAUGUGGUGCAAUGCAGGUAAUCAGAUAAAAGGACGAGAGAAGAGUAGCUCCUUGAACAGUUGCAUUCUUUAAAGGUUUCUCAGUCUGAUCAAUAAACGCAGGCUCUGACCUAACA